rnacentral:rRNA from 1 species
UACGGGGGGGGCAAGCGUUGUUCGGAAUUACUGGGCGUAAAGGGCUCGUAGGCGGCCAUCUCAGUCAGUCGUGAAAUCCCUCGGCUUAACCGGGGAACGGCGUCUGAUACUGGAGGGCUUGAGUUCGGGAGAGGGAUGCGGAAUUCCAGGUGUAGCGGUGAAAUGCGUAGAUAUCUGGAGGAACACCGGUGGCGAAGGCGGCAUCCUGGACCGACACUGACGCUGAGGAGCGAAAGCCAGGGGAGCAAACGGG